rnacentral:rRNA from 1 species
UACGAGGGGGGCGAGCGUUGUUCGGAAUCAUUGGGCGUAAAGCGCACGUAGGCGGUCCAGCAAGUCGGGUGUGAAAGCCCUCGGCUUAACCGGGGAAGUGCAUUCGAAACUACUGGACUUGAGUACUGAAGAGGAUCGCGGAAUUCCCGGUGUAGAGGUGAAAUUCGUAGAUAUCGGGAGGAGCACCAGUGGCGAAGGCGGCGAUCUGGGCAGAUACUGACGCUGAGGUGCGGAAGCGUGGGGAGCAAACAGG